rnacentral:rRNA from 1 species
GCGCAGCAGUCGCGAAACCUCCGCAAUGCGGGAAACCGCGACGGGGGACCCCGAGUGCCGUGGCAACGCCACGGCUUUUCCGGAGUGUAAAAAGCUCCGGGAAUAAGGGCUGGGCAAGGCCGGUGGCAGCCGCCGCGGUAAUACCGGCGGCCCGAGUGGUGGCCGCUAUUAUUGGGCCUAAAGCGUCCGUAGCCGGGCCCGUAAGUCCCUGGCGAAAUCCCACGGCUCAACCGUGGGGCUUGCUGGGGAUACUGCGGGUCUUGGGACCGGGAGAGGCGGGGGUACCCCGUGGGGUAGGGGUGAAAUCCUAUAAUCCCAGGGGGACCGCCAGUGGCGAAGGCGCCCCGCUGGAACGGGUCCGACGGUGAGGGACGAAGGCCAGGGGAGCAAACCGGAUUAGAUA